rnacentral:rRNA from 1 species
AAACGACUCUCGGCAACGGAUAUCUCGGCUCUUGCAUCGAUGAAGAACGUAGCGAAAUGCGAUACUUGGUGUGAAUUGCAGAAUCCCGUGAACCAUCGAGUCUUUGAACGCAAGUUGCGCCCCAAGCCAUUAGGCCGAGGGCACGUCUGCAUGGGUGUCACGCA